GCGGCGAACGGGUGAGUAACACGUGGGCAACCUGCCCCUAGCUCUGGGACAACUCCUCGAAAGAGGGGCUAAUACCGGAUAUGACCAUCAGGUGCAUGUUUGAUGGUGGAAAGUUUUUCGGCUAGGGAUGGGCCCGCGGCCUAUCAGCUUGUUGGUGGGGUAAUGGCCCACCAAGGCGACGACGGGUAGCCGGCCUGAGAGGGCGAUCGGCCACACUGGGACUGAGACACGGCCCAGACUCCUACGGGAGGCAGCAGUGGGGAAUAUUGCGCAAUGGGCGAAAGCCUGACGCAGCGACGCCGCGUGAGGGAUGAAGGCCUUCGGGUUGUAAACCUCUUUCAGCAGGGACGAAGCGCAAGUGACGGUACCUGCAGAAGAAGCACCGGCCAACUACGUGCCAGCAGCCGCGGUAAUACGUAGGGUGCAAGCGUUGUCCGGAAUUAUUGGGCGUAAAGAGCUCGUAGGCGGUUUGUCGCGUCGGUGGUGAAAUCUCGGGGCUCAACCCCGAGCCUGCCAUCGAUACGGGCAGACUAGAGUGCUGUAGGGGAGACUGGAAUUCCUGGUGUAGCGGUGAAAUGCGCAGGUAUCAGGAGGAACACCGGUGGCGAAGGCGGGUCUCUGGGCAGUAACUGACGCUGAGGAGCGAAAGC
rnacentral:rRNA from 1 species